rnacentral:rRNA from 1 species
GACGGAAGGUGCAAGCGUUGCUCGGAAUUAUUGGGCGUAAAGAGCUCGUAGGCGGUCUGUCGCGUCGGCUGUGAAAUCCCGAGGCUCAACCUCGGGUCUGCAGUCGAUACGGGCAAACUGGAGUGUUGCAGGGGAGACUGGAAUUCCUGGUGUAGCGGUGAAAUGCGCAGAUAUCAGGAGGAACACCGGUGGCGAAGGCGGGUCUCUGGGACGGUACUGACGCUGAGACGCGAAAGCGUGGGGAGCGAACAGG